UACGGAGGGGGCUAGCGUUGUUCGGAAUUACUGGGCGUAAAGCGCACGUAGGCGGCUUUGUAAGUUAGAGGUGAAAGCCCAGGGCUUAACCCUGGAAUUGCCUUUAAGACUGCAUCGCUAGAAUCGUGGAGAGGUGAGUGGAAUUCCGAGUGUAGAGGUGAAAUUCGUAGAUAUUCGCAAGAACACCAGUGGCGAAGGCGGCUUACUGGACCGGUUCUGACGCUGAGGCGCGAAAGCGUGGGGAGCAAACAGG
rnacentral:rRNA from 1 species